rnacentral:tRNA from 1 species
AGGCUUGAUAGUUUAAUUAAGACACUAGAUUGCAAAUCUGGGGAUAUAUUGUGUGUAUUCAGGCUUA